rnacentral:rRNA from 1 species
UCGAUUCCCUUAGUAGCGGCGAGCGAAACGGGAAGAGCCCAAACCAACAAGCUUGCUUGUUGGGGUUGUAGGACACUCUAUACGGAGUUACAAAGGACGACAUUAGACGAAUCAUCUGGAAAGAUGAAUCAAAGAAGGUAAUAAUCCUGUAGUCGAAAAUGUUGUCUCUCUUGAGUGGAUCCUGAGUACGACGGAGCACGUGAAAUUCCGUCGGAAUCUGGGAGGACCAUCUCCUAAGGCUAAAUACUCUCUAGUGACCGAUAGUGAACCAGUACCGUGAGGGAAAGGUGAAAAGCACCCCGGAAGGGGAGUGAAAUAGAACCUGAAACCGUGUGCUUACAAGUAGUCAGAGCCCGUUAAUGGGUGAUGGCGUGCCUUUUGUAGAAUGAACCGGCGAGUUACGAUUUGAUGCAAGGUUAAGCAGUAAAUGUGGAGCCGUAGCGAAAGCGAGUCUGAAUAGGGCGUUUAGUAUUUGGUCGUAGACCCGAAACCAGGUGAUCUACCCUUGGUCAGGUUGAAGUUCAGGUAACACUGAAUGGAGGACCGAACCGACUUACGUUGAAAAGUGAGCGGAUGAACUGAGGGUAGCGGAGAAAUUCCAAUCGAACCUGGAGAUAGCUGGUUCUCUCCGAAAUAGCUUUAGGGCUAGCCUCAAGUGAUGAUUAUUGGAGGUAGAGCACUGUUUGGACGAGGGGCCCCUCUCGGGUUACCGAAUUCAGACAAACUCCGAAUGCCAAUUAAUUUAACUUGGGAGUCAGAACAUGGGUGAUAAGGUCCGUGUUCGAAAGGGAAACAGCCCAGACCACCAGCUAAGGUCCCAAAAUAUAUGUUAAGUGGAAAAGGAUGUGGCGUUGCCCAGACAACUAGGAUGUUGGCUUAGAAGCAGCCAUCAUUUAAAGAGUGCGUAAUAGCUCACUAGUCGAGUGACACUGCGCCGAAAAUGUACCGGGGCUAAACAUAUUACCGAAGCUGUGGAUUGUCCUUUGGACAAUGGUAGGAGAGCGUUCUAAGGGCGUUGAAGCAUGAUCGUAAGGACAUGUGGAGCGCUUAGAAGUGAGAAUGCCGGUGUGAGUAGCGAAAGACGGGUGAGAAUCCCGUCCACCGAUUGACUAAGGUUUCCAGAGGAAGGCUCGUCCGCUCUGGGUUAGUCGGGUCCUAAGCUGAGGCCGACAGGCGUAGGCGAUGGAUAACAGGUUGAUAUUCCUGUACCACCUAUAAUCGUUUUAAUCGAUGGGGGGACGCAGUAGGAUAGGCGAAGCGUGCGAUUGGAUUGCACGUCUAAGCAGUAAGGCUGAGUAUUAGGCAAAUCCGGUACUCGUUAAGGCUGAGCUGUGAUGGGGAGAAGACAUUGUGUCUUCGAGUCGUUGAUUUCACACUGCCGAGAAAAGCCUCUAGAUAGAAAAUAGGUGCCCGUACCGCAAACCGACACAGGUAGUCAAGAUGAGAAUUCUAAGGUGAGCGAGCGAACUCUCGUUAAGGAACUCGGCAAAAUGACCCCGUAACUUCGGGAGAAGGGGUGCUCUUUAGGGUUAACGCCCAGAAGAGCCGCAGUGAAUAGGCCCAAGCGACUGUUUAUCAAAAACACAGGUCUCUGCUAAACCGUAAGGUGAUGUAUAGGGGCUGACGCCU